AGCCCUUAUGUCAUCUAUUGCCAUUCUUCCACAUGCAAGUAUCUGCACACCCGUGAAACGCCUCAACCCCUUUAACCAAGGAAGAGGAGUUGGUAUCAGGCACAACCAAUAAGCCCACGACACCUAGCCACGCCACACCCACAAGGGUAUUCAGCAGUGAUAAACAUUGUUUAUAAGCGUCAGCUUGAAUCAGUUAAGGCAAAGAGGGCCGGCAAAUCCGGUGCCAGCCGCCGCGGCUACACCGUUAGGCCCAAGUUGACACACACCGGCGUUAAGCGUGAUUAGAGUGAUUACACAGAUUAGAGUUAAACCCAAAUUUAGUCGUGAUACACUUGUCCCCGGGAAACCCAAAAACGAAAGUUACUCUAACCAACCCACUUGACCCCACGACAGCUAAGACACAAACUGGGAUUAGGUACCCCACUAUGCCUAGCCGUAAAACAUAUACUCACCCCAACAAAUCGCCAGGGAAUUACGAGCCCAAGCUUAAAACCCAAAGGACUUGACGGUGUCCCACCCACCUAGAGGAGCCUGUUCUAUAAUCGAUUCCCCCCGAUAAACCUCACCACUUCUAGCCAACUCAGCCUGUAUACCUCCGUCGUAAGCUUACCAUGUGAACGAAACCAGUGAGCCCAAAGAUCCCACAUCAAUACGUCAGGUCAAGGUGCAGCUAACGAACUGGAAAGAAAUGGGCUACAAUUUCUACAAUAGAACAAACGAAAGACUACAUGAAACAUAGUCACUGAAGGCGGAUUUAGCAGUAAAAAGGAAAUAGAGAGUUCUUUUUAACAAGGCGCUGGGACGCGUACACACCGCCCGUCACCCUCUUCAAAUG
rnacentral:ncRNA from 1 species